UAACCCGGGGAAACUCGGGCUAAUACCGCAUACGCUCUACGGCGGAAAGCUGGGGACCUUAGGGCCUGGCGCUUUUAGAUGAGCCUGCGUCAGAUUAGCUAGUUGGUGGGGUAAAGGCCUACCAAGGCGACGAUCUGUAGCUGAUUUGAGAGGAUGAUCAGCCACACUGGGACUGAGACACGGCCCAGACUCCUACGGGAGGCAGCAGUGGGGAAUUUUGGACAAUGGGCGAAAGCCUGAUCCAGCAAUGCCGCGUGUGCGAUGACGGCCUUCGGGUUGUAAAGCACUUUCA
rnacentral:rRNA from 1 species